rnacentral:tRNA from 28 species
CGGGAUGUAGCGCAGCUUGGUAGCGCAUCCGCUUUGGGAGCGGAGGGUCGCAGGUUCAAAUCCUGUCAUCCCGACAA